AUACAUGCAAGUCGAACGAACUCUGGUAUUGAUUGGUGCUUGCAUCAUGAUUUACAUUUGAGUGAGUGGCGAACUGGUGAGUAACACGUGGGAAACCUGCCCAGAAGCGGGGGAUAACACCUGGAAACAGAUGCUAAUACCGCAUAACAACUUGGACCGCAUGGUCCGAGCUUGAAAGAUGGCUUCGGCUAUCACUUUUGGAUGGUCCCGCGGCGUAUUAGCUAGAUGGUGGGGUAACGGCUCACCAUGGCAAUGAUACGUAGCCGACCUGAGAGGGUAAUCGGCCACAUUGGGACUGAGACACGGCCCAAACUCCUACGGGAGGCAGCAGUAGGGAAUCUUCCACAAUGGACGAAAGUCUGAUGGAGCAACGCCGCGUGAGUGAAGAAGGGUUUCGGCUCGUAAAACUCUGUUGUUAAAGAAGAACAUAUCUGAGAGUAACUGUUCAGGUAUUGACGGUAUUUAACCAGAAAGCCACGGCUAACUACGUGCCAGCAGCCGCGGUAAUACGUAGGUGGCAAGCGUUGUCCGGAUUUAUUGGGCGUAAAGCGAGCGCAGGCGGUUUUUUAAGUCUGAUGUGAAAGCCUUCGGCUCAACCGAAGAAGUGCAUCGGAAACUGGGAAACUUGAGUGCAGAAGAGGACAGUGGAACUCCAUGUGUAGCGGUGAAAUGCGUAGAUAUAUGGAAGAACACCAGUGGCGAAGGCGGCUGUCUGGUCUGUAACUGACGCUGAGGCUCGAAAGUAUGGGUAGCAAACAGGAUUAGAUA
rnacentral:rRNA from 1 species